rnacentral:rRNA from 1 species
GAUGAACGCUAGCGGCAGGCUUAACACAUGCAAGUCGAGGGGCAGCACGGGUAGCAAUACCUGGUGGCGACCGGCGCAAGGGUGCGUAACGCGUGAGCAACAUGCCCUAUACAGGGGGAUAAUCCAGGGAAACUUGGUCUAAUAUCCCAUAGUAUUUAGAGGAGGCAUCUUCUAUAAAUUAAAGCUUCGGUGGUAUAGGAUUGGCUCGCGUGACAUUAGCUAGAUGGUGAGGUAACGGCUCACCAUGGCAAUGAUGUCUAGGGGUUCUGAGAGGAAGGCCCCCCACACUGGGACUGAGACACGGCCCAGACUCCUACGGGAGGCAGCAGUGAGGAAUAUUGGACAAUGGAUGGAAAUCUGAUCCAGCCAUGCCGCGUGCAGGAAGACGGCCCUAUGGGUUGUAAACUGCUUUUAAUGGGAGCAAUAAGGUCUACGCGUAGACCGAUGAGAGUACCAUAUGAAUAAGCAUCGGCUAAC